rfam:Trichobilharzia regenti genome assembly, scaffold: TRE_scaffold0012144
GCACUGAUGAAGAGUCCCAAGCUAGGAUGAAACAGCUGUCCAGUAC